UAAAAAAGUUAAAUGCCUGAA
rnacentral:piRNA from 1 species